AACGAACGUUGGCGGCGCGCCUAACACAUGCAAGUCGCACGAGAAAGGGAGCAAUCCCCGGUACAGUGGCGCACGGGUGAGUAACACGUGGAUAAUCUUCCCUUGGGCGGGGGAUAACCUUCCGAAAGGAGGGCUAAUACCGUAUAAGACCACAGCGAGUUCGCUCGCAGGGGUCAAAGCUGGCCUCUUCAUGAAAGCUAGCAACUAAGGAUGAGUCCGCGUCCCAUACGCUAGUUGGUAGUGUAAAAGACUACCAAGGCGAAGACGGGUAGCUGUGCUGAGAGGAUGAUCAGCCAACCUGGAACUGGGACACGGUCCAGACUCCUACGGGAGGCAGCAGGGGGGAAUCUUGCGCAAUGGGCGAAAGCCUGACGCAGCGACGCCGCGUGGGUGAUGAAGGCCCUCGGGUUGUAAAGCCCUGUGGGGAGGGACGAAUAAGUCGUGGCUAAUAUCCACGAUGAUGACGGUACCUCCUUAGAAAGCACCGGCUAACUCUGUGCCAGCAGCCGCAGUAA
rnacentral:rRNA from 1 species